rnacentral:sRNA from 1 species
UAAAUCUCACUCCAGACCCAACCUGAACAUUAAAUUACGCCAAGUAAACGUUUGCCUUUACUCAUCCUGUGCCCAACGUCAGGGCUGCGGCACGCCGGGAAACGACACGGAACGUCAGGAAGGGGUCAAUGGCCGGUACGCUAAUCAAGUAAGCGUCGAAUUUUGUCUGAUCUUUACGAAAAGGGGAAGUAUUAAAAGCACAUAUCACUCUAAAUCGUGGGAGAUUUUUACACUCAAGUGUGUAAAAAUGCGCUAUAUCACUUUUUGUGUGGGUAUAAAAAGGAGAAAAGUUGAUGAGCACCGAUCUGAAAUUUUCAUUAGUGACCACGUUUAUUGUCCUGGCUUUAAUCGUUGCGGGCGGCCUGACGGCGGCACUGCACUGAU